GGUACAACUACUCGUGAAUACUUGUAGCAGCAAGAAAGGAGACUCGCGUGAUUUUUUGGUAUACGCUAUGAACCAAGUACCUACGUUGUAUCCUGACUAUCGACAAAAUGAAGUAGCAAGCUCUAAAUUCGUAGUUGUGUCGUCACCGCAUAGCAUGAUCGAAACAGAGGUCGGCGCGCGGCAGCGGUUACUCUCCGAUGUCGUUUAAAACCUAAUGUACACUCGAUAAUUUCAGGCUGUACCUUCUGAACUUAUGUGGUAUUUACUAUUAACAUAAGGAAGCUGACUCUGGACUCCCACGCACUAUGGCUAAGGAAACAGCUGGGGAAACGGUAAACCAUAUACGGAAAUCGCUCAGAUAUGAAAAUUUGAUUUUAAGAUAUGGACAAGAAUUCACGAGUAAUAUAUAAAAUGAAAAAUAAAACGUAGUAUGCUUACAUACAUUUUUCGUAGCGUACCUAUGUACCUACUGUAAGCUAAAUUAUAUUGUAAGAAUGAUGACGGAUCGAAAUUCCCGUUACACUUAGAAUAUACACAUUAUAAAUUGUUUCAUGCUAAAAACAAUUGUUUAGAAAAAUUACAAGCGCCUACACUUUUUGUGAGAGCAACGACGUUGUUGUGUUACCUGGCUCGGGAAAAGUUCCAGUGCACAGUAUUUACAAAAGAAAUUGGGCGCUUUGACUGUAUUCGAGUUUAUUUUUAUUUAUAUUGUAAAUUAUGCUAUUCCAUUCAAAUUCAGUGACCUUGUAAGCAAUGUUUCGAAAUAUAUAAG